CGCACAUUGCGCCCUUUGGUAUUCCAGGGGGCAUGCCUGUCCGAGCGUCAUUGCACAUCUCAAGCGUAGCUUGGUAUUGGGCAUCGCUCCCCGCCAGGGGGUGUGCCUGAAAAGUAGUGGCGGGUCGAUGUGACCUUUGAACGCAGUAAAUCUCUCCCCGUUCCGAAGGAUUUUUUUCACGCCGACACCUGUCAAAACGCGCCCCCUCCUUACGAUUGACCUCGGAUCAGGUAGGGAUACCCGCUGAACUUAA
rnacentral:misc_RNA from 1 species